CCCAGACGGAAUUACCCUCCCAGCCCUUCCAAGCCACUAGCCCAGACAGUGAAGCCAUGGAAGCGACCUCUGCUGCACAUUUUUCAAGCCUCCCUACUCCAUCCCGAAGGCUAGCUCAGAUAAGGCGGAGGAAGAAGAGGACGUGAGAUGAAAUGUUCUCAGAAAUCAUGGAAGUAACCCGCAAUGAAAGAGCUCAUCUGAGGGAGUGGAAGGACGUGGUAAAAAAGUACAGGAAAGAUGCCAGUGAACGUGAGGACAGGAGGGACCAACGUGAGGACAGGAGGGACCAACAUGAGGAUAGGAGAGACGCUCGAGAUGAGAGGUACAGGUAGGAAAAUCAGCGGUGGCGGGAUGCAACGCUGGAGCUGCUGCGUGAUCAAACUGACAUCCUCCGACGUCUGGUGGAUCUUCAGGAGGAGCAGCGGGGUCACAGAGUGCCACUGCAGCCCAUGUUUAACCACCCUCAGUACUCACCAUGUUCCAUGUCUUCCUCACCCAGACGUGUAAGAACGCGUGGGGGAAGGCUUUGUGCACCAGCCCACUCCACCCCCAUGGACAGUCCAACCAAAAGGCUGUCAUUACAUUGAAAUGUGCUUAAUGGCCUUUUCCUUCCCUCCUAUCCUCCUCCCAAACCACUCCCGGGAUACCUUGUUAAUUAACUUCCUCUUUUUAUAAUUACAUGCUUUUUAAAUGAAGGGGGAGGGUGGGUUGCUUACAGAGAAUGACUU